AACAUAUAUUUAACUUAUGUUACGGCCAUAAGAAUGGUGAAUUUUACCGUAUGUUU
rnacentral:tRNA from 1 species